rnacentral:rRNA from 1 species
CCCGCGCCGUAUUAGCUAGUUGGUGGGGUAACGGCCUACCAAGGCGACGAUACGUAGCCGACCUGAGAGGGUGAUCGGCCACACUGGAACUGAGACACGGUCCAGACUCCUACGGGAGGCAGCAGUAGGGAAUCUUCCGCAAUGGGCGAAAGCCUGACGGAGCAACGCCGCGUGAGUGAUGAAGGUCUUCGGAUCGUAAAGCUCUGUUGUUAGGGAAGAACAAAUGUGUAAGUAACUGUGCACAUCUUGACGGUACCUAACCAGAAAGCCACGGCUAACUACGUGCCAGCAGCCGCGGUAAUACGUAGGUGGCAAGCGUUAUCCGGAAUUAUUGGGCGUAAAGCGCGCGUAGGCGGUUUUUUAAGUCUGAUGUGAAAGCCCACGGCUCAACCGUGGAGGGUCAUUGGAAACUGGAAAACUUGAGUGCAGAAGAGGAAAGUGGAAUUCCAUGUGUAGCGGUGAAAUGCGCAGAGAUAUGGAGGAACACCAGUGGCGAAGGCGGCUUUCUGGUCUGCAACUGACGCUGAUGUGCGAAAGCGUGGGGAUCAAACAGGAUUAGAUACCCUGGUAGUCCACGCCGUAAACGAUGAGUGCUAAGUGUUAGGGGGUUUCCGCCCCUUAGUGCUGCAGCUAACGCAUUAAGCACUCCGCCUGGGGAGUACGGUCGCAAGACUGAAACUCAAAGGAAUUGACGGGGACCCGCACAAGCGGUGGAGCAUGUGGUUUAAUUCGAAGCAACGCGAAGAACCUUACCAAAUCUUGACAUCCUUUGACCGCUCUAGAGAUAGAGUUUUCCUCUUCGGAGGACAAAGUGACAGGUGGUGCAUGGUUGUCGUCAGCUCGUGUCGUGAGAUGUUGGGUUAAGUCCCGCAACGAGCGCAACCCUUGAACUUAGUUGCCAUCAUUCAGUUGGGCACUCUAAGUUGACUGCCGGUGACAAACCGGAGGAAGGUGGGGAUGACGUCAAAUCAUCAUGCCCCUUAUGAUUUGGGCUACACACGUGCUACAAUGGACAAUACAAAGGGCAGCGAAACCGCGAGGUCAAGCAAAUCCCAUAAAGUUGUUCUCAGUUCGGAUUGUAGUCUGCAACUCGACUACAUGAAGCUGGAAUCGCUAGUAAUCGUAGAUCAGCAUGCUACGGUGAAUACGUUCCCGGGUCUUGUACACACCGCCCGUCACACCACGAGAGUUUGUAACACCCGAAGCCGGUGGAGUAACCAUUUUGGAGCUAGCCGUCGAAGGUGGGACAAAUGAUUGGGGUGAAGUCGUA